UACGUAGGGUGCAAGCGUUGUCCGGAAUUAUUGGGCGUAAAGAGCUCGUAGGCGGUGUGUCACGUCGGCCGUGAAAACCUGCAGCUUAACUGUGGGCGUGCGGUCGAUACGGGCAUCACUGGAGUUCGGCAGGGGAGACUGGAAUUCCUGGUGUAGCGGUGAAAUGCGCAGAUAUCAGGAGGAACACCGGUGGCGAAGGCGGAUCUCUGGGCCGUAACUGACGCUGAGGAGCGAAAGCAUGGGGAGCGAACAGG
rnacentral:rRNA from 1 species